GAUGAACGCUGGCGGCGUGCCUAAUACAUGCAAGUCGAGCGAACGGUCGAGAAGCUUGCUUCUCUGAUGUUAGCGGCGGACGGGUGAGUAACACGUGGAUAACCUACCUAUAAGACUGGGAUAACUUCGGGAAACCGUAGCUAAUACCGGAUAAUAUUUUGAACCGCAUGGUUCAAAAGUGAAAGACGGUCUUGCUGUCACUUAUAGAUGGAUCCGCGCUGCAUUAGCUAGUUGGUAAGGUAACGGCUUACCAAGGCAACGAUGCAUAGCCGACCUGAGAGGGUGAUCGGCCACACUGGAACUGAGACACGGUCCAGACUCCUACGGGAGGCAGCAGUAGGGAAUCUUCCGCAAUGGGCGAAAGCCUGACGGAGCAACGCCGCGUGAGUGAUGAAGGUCUUCGGAUCGUAAAACUCUGUUAUUAGGGAAGAACAUAUGUGUAAGUAACUGUGCACAUCUUGACGGUACCUAAUCAGAAAGCCACGGCUAACUACGUG
rnacentral:rRNA from 1 species